UACGUAGGGGGCAAGCGUUAUCCGGAUUCACUGGGUUUAAAGGGCGCGUAGGCGGCGGUCACAGUCAGAUGUGAAAUUCCUGGGCUUAACCUGGGGGCUGCAUUUGAUACGUGGUUGCUUGAGUGGGGAAGAGGGUCGUGGAAUUCCCAGUGUAGAGGUGAAAUUCGUAGAUAUUGGGAAGAACACCGGUGGCGAAGGCGGCGACCUGGUCCUUGACUGACGCUGAGGCGCGAAAGCGUGGGGAGCAAACAGG
rnacentral:rRNA from 1 species